rnacentral:lncRNA from 1 species
UUCGAUGUGAUAAAAUAUUUUAAAAAGUUUUUUUUUUGUUAUUGAGGUAAACUAAACAAGCCCUUGAUCUCAAGCAAAAGACACAAUUCAAUUAAGUACACGAUUACUGUCAUACAUCGAUGAGAUGACAUGGACAGAUGGUAUUUUGAGAGGAGUGCACGAAUAUGCGGAGUUUGGUGCGGGAGAUCAUUCCUUGCAAGAUACCACGAGGCA